CAUUAGGGGGCAGUAUAAGGGCUGCUGUGUUGGCAUCACUAAGUUCUGCAGGGCUUACUGAGCAGCUCUGAUCCAGAGAUCAGGGAGAUUCCGCCCAGGGCCUUUCUGUUCUCCAGUCGCCCCGUAAUACAAAUACUUUGUCUUCCCCUGAUCUCAUUUCAACACUUGUGAAGAAGUCACGUGUUGAACUUUGACUUCUCCCCUACAGCCCUUCCUCCAGGGGGCGCUGGAAAGCGCAGCUAAAGACCUUCAUGACGCCACCUUUU